GAUGAAGAACGUAGCGAAAUGCGAUAAGUAAUGUGAAUUGCAGAAUUCAGUGAAUCAUCGAAUCUUUGAACGCACCUUGCGCUCCUCGGUAUUCCAAGGAGCAUGCCUGUUCGAGUGUCAUGAAUACCAUCGAAUCCCCCUCGUCUUUUCGGACGUUGGGGCUUUGGAUUUGGACGUUUGCUGGGUUUCGCCGGCUCGUCCCAAAUGCAUUAGCUGGAUCCCUUCCCUUCCACGGUCCUUUCGGCGUGAUAGUUUCAUCUGCGUCGUGCUUGCCGGUCGGAAGGGUGGGCCGCUUCUAAACGGUCUUCACCGAAGACGAUUCAUCUCAUUUGACCUCGGAUCAGGUAGGACUACCCGCUGAACUUAAGCAUAUCAAUAAGCGGAGGA
rnacentral:misc_RNA from 1 species